AGUUUAGUACCAGCUAACUCUCAGGUAAAAGUCCGGGUUUUAUGGAAAAGGUAACUCAGUCCCAGCCACUAGUUCUUUUUAGGGGAGACUUGUAGGGGGGGGCAAAGGGGUGCCAGCACCCGCGGUUACACCCCUCCCCCGGCUUGGUAACCAACAAAGCAAAAAUAAAAAUACUUUUUUCAAAUAAUUCUAAGUAAGAGAUGACCGCUAAAUCUAGUUAGUGAUACGGAUUAGAGCCCGUGUAACAAAGUGCACACAGUAAGGUAGAUAACAACCUAAAGUAAAUGGCUGCAACUAAGUAAAAAAUAGAGAAAUUUGAAGUUACGACAACCCCCGCUAUUGUGGGCCUGCGAAAAGCUUGAGUAUGAUUGUUCAAAGAUAAACCGGGCGUUUAAAUUUAUAAUCAAAUUACAUUCAGCUUCGCAGGAAAUUUUGAAUUGCAAAGAAAAAAUUCCUAAAAAAGUUAGCGUCUUACCGGAUUUAUAAGUAAAACAAAAGUUUUGAAUUUUUCCUGGUGAGUACAUAUUGUCCGUCACUCUCGUUAGAGAUAAGUCGUAGCAAAGUAAUGUUUAUACAAAUAGUCAUUCUAAAGA
rnacentral:rRNA from 1 species